rnacentral:tRNA from 9 species
GCGCCCGUAGCUCAAUUGGAUAGAGCGUCUGACUACGGAUCAGAAGGUUGUGGAUUCGACUUCUUCCGGGCGCGCCA